GGCAGAUCCAUCCGGCCGGGCGACCUUGGCAGCCGGAAUCGCAGCGUGACUCGGCGGGCCGGCGGCCGGCACGUGAGCGGGCGGCGCGGCAGGUAUGCGGCGCCGUGAGCGUGAGCGGCAUCCACUCAAGCAUCCAGGAGGGCGUUUGCUGCAAGCGGAACGACCGGAACAGCUGCGCGGCAAGCGGGGCAGGCUGGAGGUGCUGCUCGCAGCCGUGCGGCGCUCGUCGGCGUUCGUCGGCGUCGGAUCCACCUGCCGGCCCCGCCCGCGCUCUGCUCUGCCCCGACCCAUGUCCGUCCGCGCCGCCUUCCGUGCCGCCGCCGACUGCGUCCGCCGCCCGACGGCCUCAUCUUCCUGCCCGCUGGCUGUUUUGCUUGCCCAUGGGAGGAAGGACACGGACGCACGGCCGUCCAGCGCUGCUGGCCACCUUCCCGACUGAGUAGGCACCGCUGCCACCAGGAGCACUCUAGUAUGCGCAGCUGAUAAAGCUCAUGAAGAAUCCCUCAAGAAGACCAUUGAAGUGGACAGGCUGAUUGAUACGCUGAGGGAUGCAAAUCCUAGAGAUCACUUGGAGUGGAGAACAAUUGCUGCUAGCGUACAGAGUGCUACAAAAGUAAUGUUGUGCCUGCCUAAUAUUGUGCAAUAUGUAAAUAUAAUUAUUACGUACUGUUGCAAUUAAUUAUUGUACUAAUUUAGCAAUUGAUGCGUUCUCUUGAAAAUGGGUUUUAGUUUUUGUUUGCUGUGAUUUCUGGGCUGGAACAUUUGUUUUGAUAUAUGGGCCAGGAAAAUUGGUGGGCUAAUUUUUUAUAUGAGCUGUGUAUAUUGCUGAA